AUCGGAUAUGCAGUGGACCCAGCCUACAGAGAAGAAACUUACUGGUGGAACAAACUGGCAAGCAAAAACAAGCACAUCGACUACGUGGAACCCUACUCCCUUACCCCCUAUUCCACAUAUGGUACCUGCUCCUAUCACGUACCCAGUGACCACACCUCAAGUGCCUGUAUAUGGAAUGGUACCUCCUCAGAUUGGAGCUGCUCCUUUGAUGGCACCCCAGUCAAUGAUGUAUACACAGCCUGGUCUAAGGCCAACAAACCCUUUUGCACCUGUUUCUGAAACUCAGAUACAAUUUAUGUAGAGCCGCCAAAGCAGCAAGAUGUGAGAACAACCAAAUACUGGU